UUAGAUUUCUGCAUAUUUGUCUUUUGGUUUUGAUGUUUUAUGCUUAUUUGACUUUGAUAAUUCCCAGGCUCAUGUAUGUGUACUAGUUUCGAUGAUAGAGCAUAAUAUAGGUUUCGAUCUGUGUGGCAGAUCUGUUUCUUUUUUAUGUGUAGUGCAGACACGCACUGAUAUCUUGUGCAACCAGCUUGAAAAAGAUGAGCUUAAACUGAACUCAAAGGUUUUGUCACUAUCUUACAGUCAGGCUCAUGAAGAGACAUGGUGCUAAACAUGGAGAUUACUAUUGAAGAUUUGAAUGCUUCUCAAUCAAGACUAAUUUUUGUGAAUUACUUGUUUUGAUUUGGAUUUUCUUUUAACUUCGAAAAUAUGCAGAUUGUGAUUGAGAUUACUCUCACAAUCUGCUAUGGACUGUAAAUAAUGAUUUCUGUGAUUGAGAUCAUCCACCAAAUAUGCAAAUUGUGAUUGAGAUUACUCUCACAAUUUGCUAUGGACUGUAAUUAUUAAUUUCUGUAUUUUGAGAUGUGUGGUGGAUGAUUUGCUAUGGUUUUAAGGUUUUUUUUAAGUAUUUGAAUGAUGAAAAAACUUUAGAUAUGCAGAGUUGGAGAAA